rnacentral:misc_RNA from 1 species
CGCAGCCGCGGUAAUUCCAGCUCCAAUAGCGUAUAUUAAAGUUGUUGCAGUUAAAAAGCUCGUAGUUGAAUUUCGGGGUUAGUAGGUUGGUCAUGCCUCUGGUAUGUACUGGUCUCACUGAUUCCUCCUUCCUGAUGAGCCGUAAUGCCAUUAAUUUGGUGUUGCGGGGAAUUUGGACUGUUACUUUGAAAAAUUAGAGUGUUUAAAGCAAGCUAACGCUUGAAUACAUUAGCAUGGAAUAAUGAAAUAGGACGUUCGAUCCUAUUUUGUUGGUUUCUAGGAUUGACGUAAUGAUUAAUAGGGAUAGUUGGGGGCAUUAGUAUUCAAUUGUCAGAGGUGAAAUUCUUGGAUUUAUUGAAGACUAACUACUGCGAAAGCAUUUGCCAAGGAUGUUUUCAUUAAUCAAGAACGAAAGUUAGGGGAUCGAAGACGAUCAGAUACCGUCGUAGUCUUAACCAUAAACUAUGCCGACUAGGGAUCGGAUGAUGUUAAUUUUUAAUGUACUCAUUCGGCGCCUUAA